UUUAAAACAUUACGAACUUUUUUUUUUUUUAAUCUAAAGGGCUUAGCAAGCAGCUAAGGGAAGAUUGGACUACAGGACAACUGUGUAUCCUUACAGUCCUACAAAAUAUAGAAGCUGCUUCUGACCUAAUUGAUCAAAAUGCUGUUCCUUGGGAAAUAGCAAGGCAUGUCUUCUUUUCAAGGCAAAUGAAUUUGGGGGCUGGUGAGAGAGGGAGAAAGGGUCAUUGUGGUAGAGGAAAUAUUUUUAUCUGAGCCUCAGGAAAUGGUGGUCUGGCUAAAGACUGCGGUGGUGUGGAUGGUUAUGUGAAGAGCAUUUACACAGGGGCAAAGGAUGCCAUCAUUUACCUCUGCCCCACAGCUUCUGGGCUACAAGAACUACUCAGCAUCAGUGGCCACCUAGACAUAUCCAGUGAGGAAGGAGUGUGGAGGCCACU
rnacentral:lncRNA from 1 species